GAUGAACGCUGGCGGCGUGCCUAAUACAUGCAAGUCGAGCGAACAGACGAGGAGCUUGCUCCUCUGACGUUAGCGGCGGACGGGUGAGUAACACGUGGAUAACCUACCUAUAAGACUGGGAUAACUUCGGGAAACCGGAGCUAAUACCGGAUAAUAUAUUGACCCGCAUGGUUCAAUAGUGAAAGACGGUUUUGCUGUCACUUAUAGAUGGAUCCGCGCCGCAUUAGCUAGUUGGUAAGGUAACGGCUUACCAAGGCAACGAUGCGUAGCCGACCUGAGAGGGUGAUCGGCCACACUGGAACUGAGACACGGUCCAGACUCCUACGGGAGGACGCAGUAGGGAAUCUUCCGCAAUGGGCGAAAGCCUGACGGAGCAACGCCGCGUGAGUGAUGAAGGUCUUCGGAUCGUAAAACUAUGUUAGUAGGGAAGAACAAAUGUGUAAGUAACUAUGCACGUCUUGACGGUACCUAAUCAGAAAGCCACGGCUAACUACGUG
rnacentral:rRNA from 1 species